AGGAUCAUUCGCAAUGGGCGAAAGCCUGACGAUGCGACGCUGCGUGGAGGAUGAAGGCCUUCGGGUCGUAAACUCCUGUCAUGAGGGAAAAGGCGAGGGGGCCCAACACGCCCCUUAGUUGAUGGUACCUCAAGAGGAAGGGACGGCUAACUCUGUGCCAGCAGCCGCGGUAAUACAGAGGUCCCUAGCGUUGUUCGGAUUUACUGGGCGUAAAGGGCACGUAGGUGGCUAGGCGUGUCGCGUGUGAAAUCUCCGGGCCCAACCCGGAAAGUGCGCGCGAAACUACCUGGCUGGAGUACGGGAGAGGGAGUCGGAAUGCAGGGUGUAGCGGUGAAAUGCGUUGAUAUCCUGCAGAACACCGGAGGCGAAGGCGGACUCCUGGAACGUUACUGACGCUAAGGUGCGAAAGUCGGGGGAGCAAACA
rnacentral:rRNA from 1 species